rnacentral:rRNA from 1 species
AGAACGAACGCUGGCGGCAUGCCUAAUACAUGCAAGUCGAACGAACUCUUCGGAGUUAGUGGCGCACGGGUGCGUAACGCGUGGGAAUCUGCCCUUGGGUUCGGAAUAACAGUUGGAAACGACUGCUAAUACCGGAUGAUGACGAAAGUCCAAAGAUUUAUCGCCCAGGGAUGAGCCCGCGUAGGAUUAGCUAGUUGGUGAGGUAAAGGCUCACCAAGGCGACGAUCCUUAGCUGGUCUGAGAGGAUGAUCAGCCACACUGGGACUGAGACACGGCCCAGACUCCUACGGGAGGCAGCAGUAGGGAAUAUGGACAAUGGG